UACGUAGGUGACAAGCGUUGUCCGGAAUUAUUGGGCGUAAAGGGAGCGCAGGCGGUUGGAAUAGUCUGAUGUGAAAGCCCACGGCUUAACCGUGGAAGGUCAUUGGAAACUGUCCAACUUGAAUGCAGAAGAGGUAAGUGGAAUUCCAUGUGUAGCGGUGAAAUGCGUAGAUAUAUGGAGGAACACCAGUGGCGAAGGCGACUUACUGGUCUGUAAUUGACGCUGAGGCUCGAAAGCGUGGGUAGCGAACAGG
rnacentral:rRNA from 1 species